rnacentral:tRNA from 1 species
GGCCCCAUCGUCUAGAGGCCUAGGACAGCGGGUUUUCAAUCCGUUAACCGGGGUUCGAAUCCCCGUGGGGCUACCA